rnacentral:tRNA from 1 species
GGAGCAUGGACCUCAAGAAUAAGCUUCUAACUUAAUUCUUAAGCAGUGAAAUUCUGUUUAUACUCCU